rnacentral:lncRNA from 1 species
GAAGCUGGAGUUCCCAACACUCAAGCUGCCCCUCCCUCCACCUGUUACUGUGGGAAGUCCAAAUCCCGCCCCUUUCUGGGUCCAGCCAAUCGGCAGGCCCUACGGGCGGACCACGUGCCAAGCGGGAGGCUCGAUGGGGGCGGGGAGCCAGGACAGCCUCCUCAGUCGGUUGUGGAGGCGGCGGUAACGGCUACAGAUGCUCAGGGAGAGCGGACUCUCCUCCGUGGGCGGUGGGCUACCGGACACAUCCACGACCCCAGAGGAUCUCGAUGUUCGCCUGGCGAACACGCCGCUCCAGCGGAUUUCCGGUUUUCUGUUACCAGACGGACAUUAGCUGAAAGGAUUUCAGAAGCACUGCAACAAUUGGGAUUAUGCAGCAGAAUGAUGGAAACAACAAACACUGUUUAUCAUUUGCCUGAUUCUCUCUAUGAAAUCUUGUUGCUCUUCCUUAUCCUGGAAACUGGGGAAUGGGGCACUGUACCAAGAGCAACUCUUUGAGCAGCACAAAUUCCAACCCAAAUUGCUGUAACAGCCCCAUUAUUGAUCUGGAAUACAUCAAGCAGUUGGUCAGUGAUGUCAGGAGGUUAGCAGAGUUGUUGCUCCGUUUGAAAGCAGCUAUCCUCUCAGAAG